AUUAGGUGAUGGAUUGCUAUUCUAACCAUUAGGUCCAGAUUUCUUUAUUUGUGUUUCUUCCUGUCCUCUCACGCGUGUUCUUUCUUCUUUCCAUGUCUCCCUCUCUCCCUCUCGAGUCAUUUGCUGUCUGUUUUUUGGUUCUUUCAACUUCUAAUAAUUCUUUUUGCAGGACGUGGUGAUGUCGGAAGAGCUUACGAAGGUCCUUGACGCCGCCAUAGGAACACGCCAUCGAAGCUUGCGGGGGAGGAGGUAGCUUGACGAGGGAAGAGGCAAGUGUGGUCUUCUCAGAUACUGUCGUCAUUAACUCCAUUCCGAAGAGGAAGGAGGAAGAAGAAGAGAAAGAGCGAGAAGAAGAGGAAGAUGCUGCCGGAAACGGUCACCCGUGGUGGUAGGAAAGUGUAGAUCUACAUAUGUAUUUUUAUAUUUAUAUAAGAAAAUUCAUAUGUAUAUUCCAUAAGUAUAUAUACAUGUAUUUAUACUUUGUAUUUCAUUUUGUAAUUAACUAAUAAAAAAAUUAUAUAAUUUUUUUUUA